CCUACGGGUGGCAGCAGUGGGGAAUAUUGGGCAAUGGGCGCAAGCCUGACCCAGCAACGCCGCGUGAAGGAAGAAGGCUUUCGGGUUGUAAACUUCUUUUGUCAGGGAAGAGUAGAAGACGGUACCUGACGAAUAAGCCACGGCUAACUACGUGCCAGCAGCCGCGGUAAUACGUAGGUGGCAAGCGUUGUCCGUAUUGACUGGGUGUAAAGGGCGUGUAGCCGGGUUGACAAGUCAGAUGUGAAAUCCUGCGGCUUAACCGCAGCACUGCAUUUGAACCUGGUGAUCUUGAGUACUGGAGAGGCAGGCGGAAUUCCUAGUGUAGCGGUGAAAUGCGUAGAUAUUAGGAGGAACACCAGUGGCGAAGGCGGUCUGCUGGACAGCAACUGACGGUGAGGCGCGAAAGCGUGGGGAGCAAACAGGAUUAGAUACCCUUGUAGUC
rnacentral:rRNA from 1 species